GGUAGGGUGGCCGAACGUCUAGGUGGUGGGUUGUAGCCCCGUGAACAGAGGUUAAAAUCCUCUCCCUAUCA
rnacentral:tRNA from 2 species